AUAGAACGCUGGCGGCAGGCCUAACACAUGCAAGUCGAGCGGUAGCACAGGGAGCUUGCUCCUGGGUGACGAGCGGCGGACGGGUGAGUAAUGUCUGGGAAACUGCCUGAUGGAGGGGGAUAACUACUGGAAACGGUAGCUAAUACCGCAUAACGUCGCAAGACCACAGAGGGGGACCUUCGGGCCUCUUGCCAUCAGAUGUGCCCAGAUGGGAUUAGCUAGUAGGUGGGGUAACGGCUCACCUAGGCGACGAUCCCUAGCUGGCCUGAGAGGAUGACAAGCCACACUGGAGAUGGGACACGGGCCAGACUCGUACGGGAGGCAGCAGUGGGGAAUAUUGAACAAUGGGCGCAAGCCUGCAGCAGCCAUGCGGCGUGUAUGAAGAAGGCCUUCGGGUUGUAAAGUACUUUCAGCGGGGAGGAAGGUGUUGAGGUUAAUAACCUCAGCAAUUGACGUUACCCGCAGAAGAAGCACUGGCUAACUCCGUGCCAGCCGCCGCGGUAA
rnacentral:rRNA from 1 species